rnacentral:lncRNA from 1 species
CUGGCGGUGAGGACAAGGUUCCUGGCGGUGAGGACAAGGUUCCUGGCGGUGAGGACAAAGUUCCUGGCGGUGAGGACAAGGUUCCUGGCGGUGAGGACAAGGUUCCUGGCGGUGAGGACAAGGUUCCUGGCGGUGAGGACAAGGUUCCUGGCGGUGAGGACAAGGUUCCUGGCGGUGAGGACAAAGUUCCUGGCGGUGAGGACAAGCUUCCUGGCGGUGAGGACAAUGUUCCUGGCGGUCAGGACAAUGUUCCUGAUGGUGAGGACAAGGUUCCUGGCGGUGAGGACAAUGUUCCUGGCGCUGAGGACAAGGUUCCUGGCGGUGAGGACAAUGUUCCUGGCGGUCAGGACAAUGUUCCUGAUGGUGAGGACAAGGUUCCUGGCGGUGAGGACAAUGUUCCUGGCGCUGAGGACAAGGUUCCUGGCGGUGAGGACAAGGUUCCUGGCGGUGAGGACAAGGUUCCUUGCGGUGAGGACAAGGUUCCUGGCGGUGAGGACAAGGUUCCUCGAGUUGAGGACAAGGUUCCUGGCGGUGAGGACAAUGUUC